GGGCUCGUUUCCGCAGCACAUAUGCUAACACUGGAACAACACAGAGAAGAUUAGCGUGGCCCCUGAGCAAGGGUGACCAGCAAAUUUGAGCAGCCUUCCUUAUUUUU
ensembl:snRNA U6 U6 spliceosomal RNA